rnacentral:rRNA from 1 species
UCAAGUGACUAAGUGUAUGUGGUGGAUGCCUUGGCGAUCACAGGCGAUGAAGGACGUAGUAGCUUGCGAUAAGCUGCGGGGAGCCGGCAAACGGGCUUUGAUCCGCAGAUUUCCGAAUGGGGGAACCCCGCGCGUAAGCGUGAUCAUCAGUUGAAUACAUAGGCUGAUGAGGCGAACGGAGUGAACUGAAACAUCUAAGUAACUCCAGGAAAAGAAAUCAACCGAGAUUGCGAAAGUAGCGGCGAGCGAAAUUGCACCAGCCUAGCUUUUGAUAGCUUCGAAGACAGUGGAACGCUCUGGGAAGUGCGGCCAUAGAGGGUGACAGCCCCUUACACGAAGUCGACGGAGUGGUACUAAGGAAGCGAUAAGUAGGGCGGGACACGUGACAUCCUGUCUGAAGAUGGGGGGACCAUCCUCCAAGGCUAAAUACUCGUGAUCGACCGAUAGUGAACCAGUACUGUGAAGGAAAGGUGAAAAGAACCCCGGGAGGGGAGUGAAAUAGAACCUGAAACCGCAUACAUACAAACAGUAGGAGCUCCUUUUGUGGAGUGACUGCGUACCUUUUGCAUAAUGGGUCAGCGACUUACGUUUUGCGGCGAGCUUAACCGAGUAGGGGAGGCGUAGCGAAAGCGAGUUCGAAUAGAGCGAUUUAGUCGCAAGGCGUAGACCCGAAACCAGAUGAGCUAUCCAUGGCCAGGUUGAAGGUGUGGUAACACACACUGGAGGACCGAACCGACUAGUGUUGCAAAAUUAGCGGAUGAGCUGUGGAUAGGGGUGAAAGGCUUAACAAAUCUGGAGAUAGCUGGUUCUCCCCGAAAACUAUUGAGGUAGUGCCUCGUGUAUGGCUCCAGGGGGUAGAGCACUGUUAUGGCUAGGGGGACAUGGCGUCUUACCAAACCAUGGCAAACUCCGAAUACUUGGAAGUCGCAGCACGGGAGACAGAGCACCGGGUGCUAACGUCCGGACUCAAGAGGGAAACAACCCAGACCGCCGUUUAAGGUCCCUAAUAUUGGCUAAGUGGAAAACGAAGUGUGAAGGCUAAGACAGUCAGGAAGUUGGCUUAGAAGCAGCCAUCCUUCAAAGAAAGCGUAAUAGCUCACUGAUCGAGUCCUCAUGCGCGGAAGAUGUAACGGGGCUAAGUCAAUAACCGAAAGCGCGGAUUUGCAGCAAUGCAAGUGGUAGGGGAGCGUUCCGUAAGUCGAAGAAGGUGGCUUGUAAAGGCUGCUGGAGAUAUCGGAAGUGCGAAUGCUGACAUGAGUAACGUUAAAGCGGGUGAAAAGCCCGCUCGCCGUAAGCCCAAGGUUUCCUGCUCUACGUUCAUCGGAGCAGGGUGAGUCGGCCCCUAAGGCCAGGCUGAGAAGCGUAGUCGAUGGGAAUCAGAUUAAUAUUUCUGAACCGUGUUCGAGUGCGAUGGGGGGACGGAGUGCAGAAGAUCAUCCGGGUGUUGGAUAUCCCGGUUUGUGAGGGGAGAAGGCCGGCAGGCAAAUCCGCCGGCGAAUCUUCAAGCCAAAGCAUCGGGCCAUCGAGAGAUGGUGAAGUGAUCGGAAGGACUUCCAGGAAAAGCCUCUAAGCUCCAGCUCGAACAUGACCGUACCGCAAACCGACACUGGUGGGCGAGUUGAAUAUACUCAGGCGCUUGAGAGAACUCGGGAGAAGGAACUCGGCAAAUUGACACCGUAACUUCGGGAAAAGGUGUGCCUUUGUAGCGUGAAGAGAGAAACACUCGGAGCGUGAAGAGGUCUCAGUAAAUAGGUGGCUGCAACUGUUUAUUAAAAACACAGCACUCUGCAAAGACGAAAGUCGACGUAUAGGGUGUGAUGCCUGCCCGGUGCUGGAAGAUUAAGUGAUGGGGUGCAAGCUCCUGAUCGAAGUCCCAGUAAACGGCGGCCGUAACUAUAACGGUCCUAAGGUAGCGAAAUUCCUUGUC